CAAUAUGAACAGUUUACCAUAUUGAAGGCGAUGAUUCGUAGCUAAGGUUAAGCUAUAUGUAACCCGGGUGAUAAAACGCACGUCAUGCUCAAGCUGUCCUUGCGUGUGUCGUGUGAUUAGUCGCGCCACGUGACUAAGUGCGGCCAAUCUGGUCGGCAUAAAGCCGGAAGUGGCUUGUUGCCGGCAGCUGCGAGCAGGGCACGUAUGAGGAGACAGUGCUGCAGGUAUGUCUAUGGUUUGCGCAGAAUUUAUUCCCUAAACGCCUUAAACUAAACUCAUAACACUGUUAAACUGUAGGAGCCGACUACCAGAACCAUUGCGAAGCUGAAUGAAGCUCGACUGAGAUUUUCAACGACGGACUUGGUCGAUGGCGAGCUAGGAGCCUAUAGGCUAAAAGCCUGAAGAACGUUCCUGGAUUGAAUGCAGCUGCACCUCCUUCCCUUGGUCUGGUAGGAGGCUCCUUAAAGCAGCCGCUCUUCCAUUGUUCUGCCCUCUGCAAUGUGAAGUUUCCAGCCCUAUUCACUCACUCAUCCAUUCCCCUUCCAAUAGACUUGGACCGUUUCCCCUUGGAUUCCUUCUGUCACGCAGGACUUGGGGCUUGAAGUUGCGUUUUAAUUAUUGAAGGGUUGAAACUUAACUGGUUGCACUUUUGCAAAGCCUUGAUUGAUGAAGACUGAAAUGAUUAUGAAAUCAUGUGUGUAUAUAUACUGAAUGGCCAUUUUUUCUGUGUUAUGUCUAUGGGUUUUUCAUUCACAAAUAUAUGGUACCAAUUGGCAUAAA